rnacentral:rRNA from 14 species
CGUGAGACAGUUCGGUCUCUAUCUACUGUGGGCGUUAGAAAUUUGAGUGGAUCUGACUCUAGUACGAGAGGACCGAGUUGGACGAACCUCUGGUGUACCUGUUGUUCCGCCAGGAGCAUUGCAGGGUAGCUACGUUCGGAAGGGAUAAGCGCUGAAAGCAUAUAAGCGCGAAACCCACCACAAGAUGAGAUUUCUUUAAAGGGUCGUGGGAGAUUACCACGUUGAUAGA